rnacentral:rRNA from 1 species
CCUACGGGAGGCAGCAGUCGAGAAUUUUUCACAAUGGGCGAAAGCCUGAUGGAGCGACGCCGCGUGGGGGAUGAAGGGCUUCGGCUCGUAAACCCCUGUCAUUUGCGAACAAGGGCGCCGACCUAACACGUCGGCGCUUGAUAGUAGCAGAAGAGGAAGGGACGGCUAACUCUGUGCCAGCAGCCGCGGUAAUACAGAGGUCCCAAGCGUUGUUCGGAUUCACUGGGCGUAAAGGGUGCGUAGGUGGUGGAUUAAGUCGGGUGUGAAAUCUCCGG